rnacentral:rRNA from 1 species
GAGCCUGAACCAGCCAAGUCGCGUGAGGGAGGAAGGUCCUACGGAUUGUAAACCUCUUUAGCCGGGGAGCAACGUGCGCCACGCGUGGCGCAGUGAGAGUACCCGGAGAAUAAGCAUCGGCUAACUCCGUGCCAGCAGCCGCGGUAAUACGGAGGAUGCGAGCGUUAUCCGGAUUUAUUGGGUUUAAAGGGUGCGCAGGCGGCGCGAAAAGUCAGCGGUCAAAGUUCCGGGCUCAACCCGGUGACGCCGUUGAAACUUUCGAGCUGGAGUUCGUGCGAGGGAGGCGGAAUGCGUUGUGUAGCGGUGAAAUGCAUAGAUAUGACGCAGAACCCCGAUUGCGAAGGCAGCUUUCCAGCACGCGACUGACGCUGAGGCACGAAAGCGUGGGGAGCGAACAGGAUUAGAUACCCUGGUAGUCCACGCGGUAAACGAUGAAUACUAGCCCUGCGGCGCGAUUGGGUGCUGCGGGGCAGAGUGAAAACGUUAAGUAUUCCACCUGGGGAGUACGCCGGCAACGGUGAAACUCAAAGGAAUUGACGGGGGCCCGCACAAGCGGAGGAACAUGUGGUUUAAUUCGAUGAUACGCGAGGAACCUUACCCGGGCUCAAACGGCGGGAGACGCGUCCGGAAACGGGCGUUCCCUUCGGGGCUGCCGCCGAGGUGCUGCAUGGUUGUCGUCAGCUCGUGCCGUGAGGUGUCGGCUUAAGUGCCAUAACGAGCGCAACCCCCAUCUUCAGUUGCCAGCGGGCAAGGCCGGGCACUCUGGAGAGACUGCCAGCGCAAGCUGUGAGGAAGGCGGGGAUGACGUCAAAUCAGCACGGCCCUUACGUCCGGGGCGACACACGUGUUACAAUGGCAGGGUCACAGAGGGAAGCCAGGCGGCGACGCCGAGCCGAUCCCGAAAACCUGUCUCAGUUCGGAUCGGAGUCUGCAACCCGACUCCGUGAAGCUGGAUUCGCUAGUAAUCGCGCAUCAGCCAUGGCGCGGUGAAUACGUUCCCGGGCCUUGUACACACCGCCCGUCAAGCCAUGGAAGCCUGGAGUGCCUGAAGUUCGUGACCGCGAGGAGCGACCAAGGGUAAGACAGGUAACUGGGGCUAAGUCGUAACAAGGUAGCCGUACCGGAAGGUGCGGCUGGAACACCUCCUUUCU